ACGAACGCUGGCGGCAGGCCUAACACAUGCAAGUCGAACGAAGUCUUCGGACUUAGUGGCGCACGGGUGAGUAACACGUGGGAAUAUACCUUACGCUGGGGGAUAACAUCGGGAAACUGAUGCUAAUACCGCAUACGCCCUUCGGGGGAAAGAUUUAUCGGCGAAAGAUUAGCCCGCGUCCGAUUAGCUAGUUGGUGAGGUAAUGGCUCACCAAGGCUCCGAUCGGUAGCUGGUCUGAGAGGAUGACCAGCCACACUGGGACUGAGACACGGCCCAGACUCCGCGGGGGGGGAGCAGGGGGGAAUAGUGGAAAUGGGGCGAAGGCCUGACCCAGCAAUGCCGCGUGGGGGAGGAGGGCUUUGGGGUUGAAAAGCUCUUCCCCCCACGAGGAGGAUGAGGGGGGGGGGAGAAGGAGCCGCGGCUAACUGCGU
rnacentral:rRNA from 1 species